rnacentral:snRNA from 1 species
GGGCUGGCCCAUAUACUAAUAUUGGAAAGAGAAGAAAUUAGCAUGGCCUUUGGGCAGGUGUGACCUGCAUGACAGUGAAAUGUUCCAAGUUUUA